rnacentral:rRNA from 1 species
GUGGGGAAUUUUGGACAAUGGGGGCAACCCUGAUCCAGCCAUGCCGCGUGAGUGAAGAAGGCCUUCGGGUUGUAAAGCUCUUUCGGCCGGAACGAAAUCGCACGGGCCAAUACCUUGUGUGGAUGACGGUACCGGAAGAAGAAGCACCGGCUAACUACGUGCCAGCAGCCGCGGUAAUACGUAGGGUGCGAGCGUUAAUCGGAAUUACUGGGCGUAAAGCGUGCGCAGGCGGCUCUUUAAGUCAGAUGUGAAAGCCCCGGGCUUAACCUGGGAACUGCGUUUGAAACUGGAGGGCUGGAGUGUGGCAGAGGGAGGUGGAAUUCCACGUGUAGCAGUGAAAUGCGUAGAGAUGUGGAGGAACACCAAUGGCGAAGGCAGCCUCCUGGGCCAACACUGACGCUCAUGCACGAAAGCGUGGGGAGCAAACAGGAUUAGAUACCCGGGUAGUCC